AUGCGCGAUCGUCCCCUGUUAUGUUGACGGAUAAGAUUUUUCGUUUUUGUCAGAUUUUACUUGAUUGGUACCACAAGGAGAAGGUUCUGCCUUGCAUAUUUGAUAUUACUGCAUUGGCGGGAUCUUCACCUGGGUAACUCCAAGCUUCCUUGACACGAGGUAAGCUACUAAGUUGCCAUCAGUGUAAUUGCCGAUGACCAGGUCUGGUUUGCGCCCCAAUAUAUCUAGGAUCUUGGCACAGGAAUCCUGAAGUUUCAUGCCAUGCCAAGUCCCAAGAAGAGAUGGAUGGAAACCUGAGCGUAUCUCUCUAGGUAAGGGUAAAUGUCGAAGCGGGAGACCCAGUGGGGCAGAUCCUGGCCAUCUUGGGUCUUGAAUGGCACACGGAGGAUGCUGGAGUGCCUUGUGUUCUCAAUGGGUUCCAGCUCCACGUUGCAGGUGGUGCCCUUUGCUUCUGGUAUGAGCCUUGUGAGCUGCAUCAGCAACGGGCAUUGAUCGACAUGCAUGGUGACUGGGAUGUAGACGACCUGGCCACCGGUGUCGGGCAUCCCCAGGACCUUGUGCUGCCCGAAGUAGCCGUGGACGGAGAAGAUGACGACGUCGAAC